AGGGCGCGUAGGCGGAUUAUCAAGUCUCUUGUGAAAUCUAAUGGCUUAACCAUUAAACUGCUUGGGAAACUGAUAGUCUAGAGUGAGGGAGAGGCAGAUGGAAUUGGUGGUGUAGGGGUAAAAUCCGUAGAUAUCACCAAGAAUACCCAUUGCGAAGGCGAUCUGCUGGAACUCAACUGACGCUAAGGCGCGAAAGCGUGGGGAGCAAACAGGAUUAGAUACCCUGGUAGUCCACGCCCUAAACGAUGUACACUAGUUGUUGGGAUGCUAGUCAUCUCAGUAAUGCAGCUAACGCAUUAAGUGUACCGCCUGGGGAGUACGGUCGCAAGAUUAAAACUCAAAGGAAUAGACGGGGACCCGCACAAGCGGUGGAGCAUGUGGUUUAAUUCGAAGAUACGCGAAGAACCUUACCUGGGCUUGAUAUCCUAAGAACCUUAUAGAGAUAUGAGGGUGCUAGCUUGCUAGAACUUAGAGACAGGUGCUGCACGGCUGUCGUCAGCUCGUGUCGUGAGAUGUUGGGUUAAGUCCCGCAACGAGCGCAACCCACGUAUUUAGUUGCUAACGGUUCGGCCGAGCACUCUAAAUAGACUGCCUUCGUAAGGAGGAGGAAGGUGUGGACGACGUCAAGUCAUCAUGGCCCUUAUGCCCAGGGCGACACACGUGCUACAAUGGCAUAUACAAUGAGACGCAAUACCGCGAGGUGGAGCAAAUCUAUAAAAUAUGUCCCAGUUCGGAUUGUUCUCUGCAACUCGAGAGCAUGAAGCCGGAAUCGCUAGUAAUCGUAGAUCAGCCAUGCUACGGUGAAUACGUUCCCGGGUCUUGUACA
rnacentral:rRNA from 1 species